CUACGUGCCAGCAGCCGCGGUAAUACGUAGGUCCCGAGCGUUGUCCGGAUUUAUUGGGCGUAAAGCGAGCGCAGGCGGUUAGAUAAGUCUGAAGUUAAAGGCUGUGGCUUAACCAUAGUACGCUUUGGAAACUGUUUAACUUGAGUGCAAGAGGGGAGAGUGGAAUUCCAUGUGUAGCGGUGAAAUGCGUAGAUAUAUGGAGGAACACCGGUGGCGAAAGCGGCUCUCUGGCUUGUAACUGACGCUGAGGCUCGAAAGCGUGGGGAGCAAACAGGAUUAGAUACCCUGGUAGUCCACGCCGUAAACGAUGAGUGCUAGGUGUUAGACCCUUUCCGGGGUUUAGUGCCGUAGCUAACGCAUUAAGCACUCCGCCUGGGGAGUACGACCGCAAGGUUGAAACUCAAAGGAAUUGACGGGGGCCCGCACAAGCGGUGGAGCAUGUGGUUUAAUUCGACGCAACGCGAAGAACCUUACCAGGUCUUGACAU
rnacentral:rRNA from 1 species